AGCAAGUCGGAUUCCUGCCCCCCUCACAAAGGAAGGAAGAAAUGGUCAAGUGCUGCGGGAAGGUGUCCACUUCAGUCAGAGUGGCCUUACUCAUCAUUCAUCCGAGACUUCGAGCAGUUUCCCACCGGAGAGACUAACUCUAGGGGUACAAAGAGGAACUGAAGGUAGAUUCUGCUUUACAAGGACAAGUGGCUGAAUCACGGAAGGUCAGAGCAGGACUGACAGACACCGAUUUGAUGCUGAGGACCUGACCGAAGUCUUUAAAUUCCCUACAGCUACUGAAGAGAAGUGCUUGGGCAGGAAGAAGCAGGAAAAGUAAAGGACGGCGGUCAUAACCCAAACCAGAACGAGCGAUCUAACGAACCCCAACAUACUCAUCACCUGGCUUCGGCAAUGAUCCGGAUUUCAUCAUGUGGCUUUCGUCAUUCUUCCACAGUUCCAGUCCACAUCUACGUGCUCCGGGAGUGUGGCCGGGUCCAUCCAGGUGGGAAAAUAGGCUGCUCGAGACAAUGUUCUAUUCCCCUGGGGGUUUCUGUCAGUGAGCAUGUGAUGAGAUAUUAUCGCACGACCAAUCUCUGUUUGGUUGUAUUUUGUGCACUUAGCAUUCCAGAGAA